UUUUGAUGGAUAAUACACUAUUUGACUGAAAAAGAAUGAUCAGUAUGUAAGCACUGCUCAACAUUGCUAAUAUUAUUAAUCACAGUCUGUGUUGUACUGUGAGACUGGCCUGGAAAUCACCCAGCAAACUCUUUCUGGAGGUAUUUGAGUUUGCAGUGGACUGUGGACAGUGAACUUCUCUCCUCCUGAAACACUGCCAAACUGGCUUUGACUAGUUACUAAUAGCCCACACAACCUAUUAGAUGUCAGCAAGAGAAGGAAGAUGUUUCAGGGUGGGGCAAGUUUUAAAUUUUGAUGAAAGAUUGAAAACUAACAUCUAACUGAUGAAUUGCACACAGUAAGACCAAUGCAUUUUAAAUACACUACCAUUCAAAAGUUCGGGGUAAGAGAUAUUUUUUUAAGAAAUUAAUACUUGGUUUAAGCAAGAAUGCAUUAUACUGAUCUAAAACAGAGGUGUGCAAACUUUUUAAUACGUAGGGCCAAAAAUCAAACUUGACUGAGUGUAACGCCACGCCAGAAGAGGGAGCCCUCGCCUGAGUACUGACUGUGUGCAGCUCCCUCUGCUUCACCUGUCAUUUCCAGUUUGGUGGACAUUUAAGCAUGGCCUUAGCCAUGGUUACUUUGCGAAGUAUUGCCAGCCUGUCUGCCUUACUGAGCGUUAUGCCCAUUGCCAUUAGCAUUGUUUGCCUUCGUCUGUAUGAUCUUUGCCUGGUUACCCUGUUUUCUUUUGGAUUGCCCACUGUUUUGUUGCCUGGAUUGGACUGCCUAUCUGUGUAUGUACCUCUGCCUGCCUCACGUUUCUGAUUCACUGUCUGCUGUUUUGGAUUUGUUUGCUGUGGAUUUCAUUAAAACUGAAGCAGAAGUUAUGAAUCUACAGGCCGCGUUUGCUUAUCAAAGCGACGUUCUCAAAGAGUACCGUGAUCAACUGGCUAAAGCUCAAGCGGCUAAUGACUACCUCACUCAGUAUCUACGAUCGCUGCCACCACCUACGCCCACGAAGGUAAACUUUGCACUUCCUGACAAAUUCAACGGUUCUGCUGAGCAAUGAGUUACAGGCAGAGCUCGCUUGUAAGGGUGAGGAUCAUUCCUUUUCUGAUUAUGUCACAUUAGCCAUCAAGAUCGAUAAACUCAUAUGUACUCACCGCCCUC
ensembl:lncRNA